UGCAUUUCCCGAAAAAGCACAAUUAAUGCGGCAUCUACUUGGUUCAGUACUCUGUUAUCUCCUGAGGUACAAUCGAGUUAAAUAAGAGCCAUGGGAUGAACAACACAUAUUUGAUUAAUUGCGGUUUGCAACUUAUUGCAUCUUUCCGAUGUAGUCGUUUCGCAAAAUGCGCAAGUUUCUUCGUAAUAACACAGAAUCUUAUAUCAUGCGAAUGGCACAACAUACACAAAAAUAAUCCAGCAAUUUUUGAUUUAUUCGGUAAAGAUCGACUGUAGAAAUCCCGUGAAUCGAUGUACAAAUUUCGUGGAUGGGCGGAGAAACAGAAAUGCAGUCAGGGCAUCGCCGAUGCACACUGCCACAACUGAUAAUCAAAUGAACUCGAAUCAGGUCAUUGUUCAGAGAGGAACGGCAGCAGCGACGGCUUCGAGCCAAAAGAUUGACGAUGGCACUCGAUCGUUUCUAUUCCUAACGCUACUUACGUUCAGCGUAAUGUUGCAACGGAUCACGAUGAAUCUCUAUCAGGUUCAGGGAAUUUUGGAUCCCAUUCUUUUUGCGUUGUCUUUGAGUAUUUUUCGUUCUGCGCUUGUGCAGUUUUGCAAGAAACCUGCCGUGCCCAAUAGGCACGCUCCUCUGAUUCGAUUGAAUUAAUUCGCAUAUUGAGACGAAUUGCAUAUCUGGAGUAAUUUUAAUUCGGUUCGGUUUAUUUUCCUGUGGCUACCAAUAAGUUUUGUUUGGAAAAGUCGCUUUUUUUUGCAUUUUUUCAUGUUACCCGUUUCGUAGACAACUACAGUAUGUCUUAAAAUACAAUUUAUUAACAAAACUUGCUGUUCCUGAUAAUGCUCGAAUUCUCAUGCCCAGUAUAUUAAAUACGUCGAAUGGUUGUUUGAUUUUCUUAUAUGUUAUAUCCGCUGCGUUGCUCUGUCCAACAUUGCAUUUACACACAUUCAGCCGAUAAUAGUUAAGCUUCCGGUAUGACGCAAACAGCGAGCUCAUUCACAUACUACAGUAAUCAAGGAUUACCUUACUAAUUACAGUAAUUAAGGAUUACCUUACUACAGUAAUUAAGGACAGAUCAAAGAACGAAGCACCAUCGCUCAAAUUCUGACUUUAUUUUGUCGAUAUUCACAUACGGAAUGUACGAUAGAGCUAAUUUUUCUUCCGAUGACUGCGCACAUUUCACUUCAUCGCUCGUAUGUACUCGUAUAAAGCCGAACGUAUAAUUAUUAUACCGAUGUACUGUUUCUCACUUUUAUAGCACGUGCUUGUGGACGUGCAUUCGGUACUAUUACGAUUUUAGCAACAAAAUGCCGAUGUUUAUGUGGAUUCUUUCAGUUCUAUCGGCAUCUACUGUGGUGCUCGGUGUGUAAGGAAAGGAAAACAUUCUUUAGCGACUGAGUAAAUGAAUUAAACUCUUCAUGUUACAGGUGAUACGGGUGGCAGCAGUGGUGGAUCCGCAAAACGCUCAAGCCACCGAGGGACAAAUUGACCUCGACGUUCAACAGUCGCCUUCGCUAGACAACAGCAACCACCAGUCGCUGGCCACCGGACAGAGCAGCGUCGCAGGUACAUCGAUAUCGUUCAACAGUAACACCAAUACGGCUCUCCAGUUUGAUCCCGCGCUUCCUGCCAACCCCGUUAUUUCUGGAAGUAACUCAGCAAACUCCCAUGGAAACGGCGUCACCGGUGUUAUACAGAACAACGACCAAAGCCAUUCCAACAGCACGAACGACGGUCAGCAUCACUCGGUGGUCGGCCAGUCGCAUAUAACGGCAAUGGCACGGGAUUGUAUUUGAACAAUUACGCGAACGGGGAACUUUUUGCCUAUCACGACACGACCGGAGCGCCGUAUCGUACGACACCAGCGCCUUGCCAAGGUUAUCCGUGCCAGGGUCGAUGUUUCCCGGGAUGGAAUGGCGUGUCGUGUACGUGUUUCUGCCCACCCGCAACGGCUCCCGAAGGACCAGAAUCACUAGUUGGCAGCAGAAGCGAACAGUGAAAACUGUCUCACGCGGCUGAUCAGCGGCGGCGCGACGCAGCGCCCCGAGCAAAAACCGGUAACGCACAGAAGCGUGGACGGCCACAGGCUGGGAAACCUGGAAAGUCUCACGAAGCAGAUCAUCCCACCACGGCUCAACGACAAAGCUCGUGAUAGAAUCUGAAGAGUUUUUAAACGGCAAAAUAACUCCGGUCCUUAUACAUCACUUAAAUUACUGUAUAAAGCAUCUUCAUCCGUUACGGUGUGUUCCAACCAUUCCCUGCA